rnacentral:lncRNA from 1 species
CCUCCCCAGCGCCGCCUCCCUCCGCCGGGCUUCCGGGAGCCCUCGUGAUCCGCUCCGCCGCCACCAGCGCAGCGCAGCCCGCAGCGAGCCCCGCUCGGCCGGUGACUGACCCGCGGGGCGGGGAGCUGGGCACACGCCGGGGGUCGCUGGCGGGGCCCGGAGCUGGGAGCGCCCCGUGCGCCCAGGGCGAGCGCCGGUUCGCCCGCCCCGCUGCACUGCGGGGGCAGGAUCGGGGCUGCCUGGCCUUCCCCAGUCACCCCCGUUCCAGGUCUCGGGGGGCUGCUUCUAGCAGGGUUCCCCGGUCCCUGGCUGGGGGGUUCCCCGGUCCUGCCAAGCCUGGUUAAUUGAUGGGGCCUGGGGGCUCCGGUUCGGGCGUGGCGUGGAGCUGUGCCACCUCUGGUGCCAUGGCUCUGGGGUUGUUAUCGCAGCCCUGACCUGGGACGCGCCCCAGCCUGGCACAUGCCACACGGAUCGUGGCCAGGAAUUCACUCUGUUGCUGUGUGCGGGGCUGGGGGCCGGCCCCACGGGUAAACGACAUGUUUGAGGCUGGAGAGCUCCGGGCGCGGCCUGUGGGAAGCCCCAGACGGUGGCCGGUGGCUGCAGGAUUUAUGGGGAUCCCUCCGAGUGGGGAGCUUGGUCUCGGGGCGCUCAGCCUCGCUGGAACCAGCUGCGAGUCCAGCCCCCGCCCCAGCUGUGCCAGGGCCCCUGGGCUGGGGCUGUCGGGUGCUAUCCAUGGAUGUGUUCUCUCCUCAGCCCGUGCUCUGUGCUAGAUCCUGCGCGCCAUGUGCUGGCUUCGUGCUGUGGCCCUGCUGCUCUGGGCAGGGCUGGGCCUGGCCCAAGAUUACCCAUUCCGGGACCCCACCCUGCCCUGGGAGCAGCGGCUGGACGACCUCAUCGGGCGGCUCACCCUGGGGGAGCUGGUGCUGCAGCCCCGAGCUCAUCCACCGCGUGGCCAAUGCCACUGCCACGGAAGUGAGAGCCAAGCACAACUACUUCAUGUCCACGGGCAUCUACGGCGACCACACAGGCCUCAGCUGCUUCAGCCCGGUGCUGAACAUCAUGAGACACCCGUUGUGGGGCAGGAACCAGGAGACGUACGGCGAAGACCCGUUCCUGAGCGCAGAGCUGGCCGUGGCGUUCGUGCAGGGGCUGCAGGGCGACCACCCCCGUUACGUCAAGGCCAGUGCCGGCUGCAAACACUUCAGCGUGCACGGGGGGCCCGAGAAUGUGCCCGUCUCCAGGCUCAGCUUUGAUGCCAAGGUGCAAGAGCGGGACUGGAGAAUGACCUUCCUGCCCCAGUUCCAGGCCUGUGUGCGCGCUGGCUCCUACAGCGUCAUGUGCAGCUACAACAGGAUCAACGGCGUGCCCGCCUGCGCCAACAAGAAGCUGCUGACAGACAUCCUGCGGGCAGAGUGGGGCUUCCAGGGCUACGUGGUGAGCGACGAGGGCGCCGUGGAGUUGAUCAUGCUGGCCCAUCGCUACACACACAGCUUCCUGGAGACGGCCAUCGGUGAGCCUGGACGCACACAGCCCACGGCCCAGGAGCCUGGCCCCGCUUGGCCGAGAGC